rnacentral:rRNA from 1 species
CCUACGUGGAGCUGCAGUGGGGAAUAUUGGACAAUGGGCGAAAGCCUGAUCCAGCCAUGCCGCGUGUGUGAAGAAGGCCUUCGGGUUGUAAAGCACUUUCAGUGGGGAAGAAAGCCUUGGGGCUAAUACCCUCGAGGAAGGACAUCACCCACAGAAGAAGCACCGGCUAACUCCGUGCCAGCAGCCGCGGUAAUACGGAGGGUGCGAGCGUUAAUCGGAAUUACUGGGCGUAAAGCGCGCGUAGGCGGUCUGAUAAGCCGGUUGUGAAAGCCCCGGGCUCAACCUGGGAACGGCAUCCGGAACUGUCAGGCUAGAGUGCAGGAGAGGAAGGUAGAAUUCCCGGUGUAGCGGUGAAAUGCGUAGAGAUCGGGAGGAAUACCAGUGGCGAAGGCGGCCUUCUGGACUGACACUGACGCUGAGGUGCGAAAGCGUGGGUAGCAAACAGGAUUAGAUACCCGAGUAGUC